UACGUAGGGGGCAAGCGUUGUCCGGAUUUAUUGGGCGUAAAGAGCGUGUAGGCGGCCAGACAGGUCCACUGUGAAAACUCGAGGCUCAACCUCGAGAGGUCGGUGGAAACCGUCUGGCUAGAGUCCGGAAGAGGAGAGUGGAAUUCCCGGUGUAGCGGUGAAAUGCGCAGAUAUCAGGAAGAACACCCGUGGCUAAGGCGGCUCUCUAGUACGGUACUGACGCUGAGACGCGAAAGCGUGGGGAGCGAACAGG
rnacentral:rRNA from 1 species